rnacentral:rRNA from 1 species
UACGGGGGGGGCAAGCGUUGUUCGGAAUUACUGGGCGUAAAGGGCGCGUAGGCGGCCACCGCAAGUCGGUUGUGAAAUCUCUGGGCUUAACCCAGAAAGGUCAGCCGAUACUGCGGGGCUAGAGUGCAGAAGGGGCAACUGGAAUUCUCGGUGUAGCGGUGAAAUGCGUAGAUAUCGAGAGGAACACCUGCGGCGAAGGCGGGUUGCUGGGCUGACACUGACGCUGAGGCGCGAAAGCUAGGGGAGCGAACGGG